GGGGGAAGAGUCCCCUCACGCAUCCUCGUACGCGGGUUACCUCUUGCUUGUCAUGGUUACACUUCUCGCACAUGGCCGGCGAGGAGUAAUGAUGGAAGACGGAGCCCGAUAGGUUAUCGAUGAUCAUUAACUCCCCGUCGAAGGAGUCCUUAAUAAUUAAAGAGACACUGUCCAGCCAUAAGUUCUCCUGUGCUGGAGAGUAGCAUCUCGUGCACAGACGUCC
rnacentral:lncRNA from 1 species